GACAGAGGAUGCAAGCGUUAUCCGGAAUACUGGGCGUAAAGCGUGCGCAGGCGGUUCUAUAAGACAGAUGUGAAAUCCCCGGGCUCAACCUGGGAACUGCAUUUGUGACUGUAGAGCUGGAGUACGGCAGAGGGGGAUGGAAUUCCGCGUGUAGCAGUGAAAUGCGUAGAUAUGCGGAGGAACACCGAUGGCGAAGGCAAUCCCCUGGGCCUGUACUGACGCUCAUGCACGAAAGCGUGGGGAGCAAACAGG
rnacentral:rRNA from 1 species